rnacentral:rRNA from 1 species
UACGGAGGGGGCUAGCGUUGUUCGGAAUUACUGGGCGUAAAGGGCUCGUAGGCGGCCAACUAAGUCAGACGUGAAAUCCCUCGGCUUAACCGGGGAACUGCGUCUGAUACUGGAUGGCUUGAGGUUGGGAGAGGGAUGCGGAAUUCCAGGUGUAGCGGUGAAAUGCGUAGAUAUCUGGAGGAACACCGGUGGCGAAGGCGGCGUUCUGGACUGCAACUGACACUGAGGAACGAAAGCCAGGGGAGCAAACGGG